rnacentral:lncRNA from 1 species
GACCUCUUCAAGAUAGCGAUCUCUCCAUAAUAACUGUCAUCUAUUUAUAUACAGUAUAUCCAGAGCUCUUGAUCUACACCGGGUGUCCCAGGAGAGACCCCCGCCGAGCCCGUGAACGGCUACAUGAUCACGGCGAACCUGCUUGUCGCCAGAUGCCGAGGGACCAUUCGGAGCUCCAGCACCAAUCACAGCAAACCAAUGGUAAGACAUUAUCAGGAAUACCAUUAUCCGAUAACGAAUACCAGAGGAUGUGACCAGGCUCUUUCCAUAUUUUCGACAUGCCCAUGUUCUGGAAGGGUUGACUACCCUCCCUUUCUCGCUUUGAACGCGGGUCACAUAGAUGUCCAAUAAUAUUGGAGAAUCCAGGUUGAUGAUAUCUCAUAUUGCUUAUUUCCCUGUCCACCGUGCACUUUCCGGAAGCGGGUCGGUGACAAGGAAGCCCAGGAUUCCCACCUGUGUCUGAGUCAUUCUUUUCAUCUUAACCGCUAUGUCCUUAGUACACGAUCUCUUCUCAUAGACGUUUAGACCGAUCGCGUUUAGGAUGGGACGAGUCAACAUGCAACGCAUCAGAACCCUGGUGGGGGACCCCUAGUGAAGCCAUUGAUGGCCAGGCAUUUGUUGUGGUCUCCAGGUUACGGGCUCGAGAAGCAGGCAUCUACAUCGUUCCUGACUGAGGCACAACGCUUAGCAUUGGACACCGCCUUGGCCAACAAGCAAUCUGCGCUUCCAGCUGUAGGUCAGAGGAAGAGUCCACCAUGCCAUAAACCUGCACACCCAUGCCAAGAUGCCUUGCAUGCAGCUAGCAUCAUUCCCGAAAUGACUACGCAUGAGCACGCAGGCAAACCGCAGUAUGCUUGCCGUGUUUGCAAUCUGCAUUCCUGAUAAGCUACACACCAGCAAGAGCAGGGGUUGCUGGAAACAUAGUGCAUGAUGUGUGGUUAUCUCCACCAGCUGGCAUCUGACCCUCUCACUGGGCCAUGAGCUCUUUAUGCAUUGCAAAUUUCUAACAUCAAACAAGUGUAACACGUGGAUAUCUUGUGCAGCUGUUCCGAAAUCGAACGGGCGCCUCGCUCGCUCUGGGAGCACGACACCACGAGAGAACGGCCGCACAAGUUUUGACGCCCACCACCGCAGCAGG